AAUGUGCGGAUCGAUUGCCUUGGA
rnacentral:siRNA from 1 species